AUAAGAAUUCUUCUAACACACCGUCUGAAGGUGCACCUCUCUGAUGGGGGAGGGCAGUUCUUCCUGGUCAGAAGUUGGACCUGGCAUUUGAAAAUCUUGACUGCCUUGUUGAUACCACAGAAUGUGUCACCUGGGAGUCAGACACAUGAGUCCCAGCUCUCUGUCCCAGACUCCGUCUAUGGAACUUGGAUCUCCACCAAGAAAGAAGUAGAACCAAGCUGAGAAUCAUCUCUAGCUCUUGGAGGAUUCAUAGAGCUGCAAAUCAAGAGGCUAACAUCCCAGUGGUUGAGCUCAGCCAGCAGAUUCUUAAUCAUAAAAUCUAUAGUUCCCCUGUCUGCAGCAGAGCAGACAAAUCCCUCAUUUUGAUGGAAAUGAGAGAGUGAAAUGUCCAGACAGCCUGACAAGAGAGGCAGAGAGCUUCCUUCCCAACGUUUAUUUUAUCCUUUCUCAGCCUUCUUGCUUAUCCUCUCUACCCCUCUCAACAAGAGGACGAGGCAUAUAACCAAAAUCUCAGGGCAAACUGUCCUGCAGCUCAUCAAGUGUGUCUUGCCAGACACCAGCCUAAUGAUUUUUGGACAAUUAGGACCAGCCCAAGCAGCCAGGGAUGGAGCAGACCUGCCGCGGACUCUGUCCCCUGUCUUGCCACUGUCUCUAUUGAUCAAGGAGCAUGGUCCCAGCCUCAGGAGUGUGCCUUUGCCAACUGCUCAGCAGGAACAAUCUGAACUCCGCCUUCCCUUUGCUCCGUGUACCUCUCGACAACCACUGGCCUUGUCAGUCAUGCUGAGCAGAGCCUCAAGAGUUGCCAAAUGAACUUGGCCCUGGGCCACCAAUGCUUCUUGAUUCAGAGGAGAUGAGAUGCUCAAAAGCUUUGAACUCAGGAGAAGAAGGGGCCUGGUCUUCUUUAAUAGUUUGAGCAUACCCUGCAGUGGGUUCACUGAAUUAUGUUGUCACAAGAUACUUACAAAAUAGAGUUCAAAUGAUGCCAGGUACUCUACCCACGAACAACUCAGUUGGCCAUACUUGCAAACCCAACCCUGUAGGACAGGAUUUGUAAAUGUUGAUGAGUAGUACCCAUCACUAUCACUGGUGGGUACUGGAGAUGGGCUGGUGGCUCCUGAGCAAGUCAAAGUGAAUUAACAGUCUUGUGAUGGCUAUCCUAAGGUAGUUUCCCAGACUUGAUGUUCUUCCAUGUCUGUGAGGGUAGGCAGGAGGAAAAGAGAGGCAUAGCUAAAUAAGUUUGGGAGUCUCAGUCACUUGGAUGAUGCCUCUAGCCUUAGAUUUUGAUCUGUCAGUGCACUAUAUUGGAGGAGAAAAUCCUUCGGGCAAGGACAUUGCUGCCGAGGAGCAGCCAGUGAAGGCUGCAGAGCUUGAACAACGGCUGAAAAGAUCGUAGUGAAAGAGGCUUCUCCUCUUAUCCUCUCUCCUUCUCCAAACUUCAUUGAUCGCCAGGGAACUCAGCCAAGAGGAUGGGAAUCAAAUACAUCUCAGCAACAAAAAAAGAGCAAGCUACUGAUACUUGCAACAACAUGGAUUAAUCUCAAAAACGUUAUAUUAAGGGAAGAGAAACAGACACAGAAAGUUCAGAUUGUUUCUUUUAUACAGAGUUCGAGAAGAGAGAAAACUAAUCCAUGUGACAGAAAUCAGAGCACGGUUGUCUUCGGGGGUGGGUAGGAAGGCGACAGGAGGAAACUUCGUAGAGUGACGGGAGCGUUCUUUGUUUUGGUCUAGGUGGAGUUACGUGAGUGCAUUGAGCUGUACACUUAGUUGUGCAUUUUAAUGUGUGUUGACUGUGCCUGAAUAAUGUACUGUCAGCAUUAAAACAGAGGAAGAUGGGGUCAGGAAAUACGAGAGAAGCUCUCUUAGCCAGUCUCUCCUUUCGAGUGUCACCGGAAGCCCAGUGCUACAGUUUCCUCCUGACUCGGCAAGGCCAGGAGGGUGGGCCACUCCCUCCCACACCUGCACGCUUCUGCGGCCUCCAGAGGCAGUAGGAUGAAAAAGAAGACAUUUGGACAACUCUGCCCUGUCAACCCCUCUCUGCUCAGAGGUGCACAAAGGCAUGGAGUGUUACAGAGGAAGAAACUUUGAAUGGAGAACACUCAAUUCGAGCCCAUUCAUUAAUAGGUGAAGAAUCCGAGGCCCAACAGCAAGGCACCACCAUGGAAAAUCAGGGCCUGUUUUGGGUCUCAGUAAUCCGGAAGAACAAUGCACUUCAGGGCCCAAUGUCUAACAGCCGAUUUCCUAGAAGCAACUGCAGAGGGUGAGGACAACCCAAAAUUCAUCUGUAAGUAGAGAGCCGUAAUUGGUGACCUUUCUCAAAGCCAAGAGACAACUGGUGGUCUGCUUUCUUCCUAUGGGCUAAGAUCCUGGGGACUCUGACAGUCCCACAGCACACUGUAAGCAGAAGCAAGCAGGACACAGAUGAUUGUGGCUGUGUCUGGGAGUAUUUGCUGGGGCUGGGGGGUAUGGGGGAAAGGGCAUGGUGGGAGAAUAAAUGUGGAUCUCCCAGAAGCACUGUGGUUGGACAUUUUCCUGAUGGAAGCUGGAGCAGAGUUCUAAAUCCUGGAGGUUUGUGGCCAUACCCCCCAUGCCUGUCUGAAUCUACUGUCAGCCACAGGUCUUUCUUGUCUACUCAGUUUUGGUUGUCGCAUUAGAGAGUUCUGGAGAGUCCUAUGACAUCAUUGUGCUUUCCUGGCAUUUAUGUAACUAUUAUAGCAAUGAAAUAGCCUAGACUUUGCUAAAAAGUUGAAAAAUCCAGAGGCUUCUUAAAAAUAUUGAGAGAGAAAAUUAAAAGUGUUGUCAUAAUAGAAGGCAAGAUAUUUUGUGAGAAUAGGGUGUGUUUCAUUUUUUUCUUAUUUGUGUAACAAAUUGUCCUGAAACAUAAUGGCUUAGACAACAACCAUUGAAUUUGUUCAUGAUUCUAUGGAUCCACAAUUGGGGCCAGGCUCAGCAGGGACAGCCUGACUCUGUCUGGUAUUGAUAGGUACUCUCAGGAUUAGAGGACCCGAGAUGUCCUUAAUCACAUGUGUGGGCACUCAAUGCUGGAAGUCAGCUGGGGCCCCUCAGUGCUCCUGCACUUGGCCCCUAUCCAGCAAGUUGGGCUGGACAUCCUUACUCGGUGGUUCAGACUCCUAAAGCACGAAAGAGGAAGCUGCCUAUAAAGGGAAAACUCCGUUUUCCUCCUCCUGUGUAAGGAAAAAACCCAGCUCUUCCCUCCUGUGUGUUUCUUUCUGUGUGUCUCCUUUACCUUCACAGAGAAUGCUUCACUUCUGCUCACCAAGCGUGUGGAGGUUUUUCCUGACACCACACAAUUCUCUGUGACACCAGCUGGGUGUCCUGCAAUUUAACUCCAUUCUGAUGCUCUCUACCCAGAGACAGCAGCAGAUCCCACAGGUUAAAGGCUCAGUCCCACAAUACGGUCCCCCAAUGCACUUCAGAUGCUAACCCCAAGAAAUCGGUCCCAGGUUAAUCAACUUCUGCUGAUUUGGCUACAAAUCAGAGGUUCCCACAACCCCCUCCUCAGGUUUGAUUAAUUUGCUAGAGUGGCUCACAAAACUCAGGGAAACACUUACUUAGGUUUACCAGUUUAUUAAAGGAUAUGAUAAAGAAUGCAAAUGGACAGCCGGAUGAAGAGAGAACAUAGGGUGAGUUCUGGGAGGGCCCCCAGAGCAGGAGCUUCUCUUCCCCUGGAGUUGGGGUGCUUCACCCUCCCAGGGGUCUGGAAGCUCUCAGAACCCUUUACCACUGGGAGUUUAUGGAGGUUCCUCGUGUAGACAUGAUCAAUUAUUAACUCCAUUUUCAGUCCCUCUCUGGAGGAUGGGGGCAUGCAGCUGAAAAUUCCAAGCUUCUAAUCAUGGCUUGGUCUUUCUGGUGACCAGCCCCCACCCAGGAGUCAUCCAGGACCCCAGCCAGAGUUGCCUCAUUAGAACAAAAGACGCUCCUAGCUCUUAUCACUUAGGAAAUUCCAAGAGUUUUAGGAGCUUUAUGCCAGGAACAGGGGACAGAGACCAAUAUGUAUUUUCUAUUAUCUCACACUACCAGACCUCAGAAGCCCUAGGUACAGGAGUCACACAGCAUGAUCUCUGCC
ensembl:lncRNA